GGGGAAUAUUGGACAAUGGGCGCAAGCCUGAUCCAGCCAUACCGCGUGGGUGAAGAAGGCCUUCGGGUUGUAAAGCCCUUUUGUUGGGAAAGAAAAGCAGCCGGCUAAUACCCGGUUGUUCUGACGGUACCCAAAGAAUAAGCACCGGCUAACUUCGUGCCAGCAGCCGCGGUAAUACGAAGGGUGCAAGCGUUACUCGGAAUUACUGGGCGUAAAGCGUGCGUAGGUGGUUGCUUAAGUCUGUCGUGAAAGCCCUGGGCUCAACCUGGGAACUGCGAUGGAAACUGGGCGACUAGAGUGUGGUAGAGGGUAGCGGAAUUCCUGGUGUAGCAGUGAAAUGCGUAGAUAUCAGGAGGAACAUCCAUGGCGAAGGCAGCUACCUGGGCCAACACUGACACUGAGGCACGGAAGCAUGGGGAGCAAAC
rnacentral:rRNA from 1 species